UCGGUGCCGCCGGGGCCAUGGCGGCGGCGCGGGGCUGGCCGCGGGCGCUGGCGAGUGUCGCUGCGGCGCUGCCCGGCGCGGCACCGGGAGCGGCCCCCGACACGGCCGCGCUCUACGUGCACUGGCCCUACUGCCGCAAGCGCUGCUCCUACUGCAGCUUCAACACGUACGUGGUGCCGGCCGUGGACGAGGCGGCCGUGCGCGCCUGCCUGGUGCGGGAGGCGCAGACCCUGCUCCGCCUCAGCCAGGUGCACAGCGUCACCUCCGUCUUCUUCGGCGGGGGCACCCCCAGCCUGGCCAGCCCCGGCACUGUGGCGGCGGUGUUGGAGGCUGUGGCGAGGGCUGCCCGCCUUCCUGCUGGUGCCGAGGUCACGCUGGAGGCCAACCCCAGCUCCGCCAGCGCUUCUCGCCUUGCCGGCUUCAGGGCAGCCGGGGUCAACCGCCUCUCCAUCGGCGUCCAGUCGCUGGAUGACGCCGAGCUGAGGAUGCUGGGCCGGGAGCACACGGCGGCAGAGGCACGGAAGGCUGUGGAAGCAGCUCGGGGGCUCUUCCCUGGCCGAACCUCCAUCGACCUCCUGUUUGGGCUGCCGGGACAGAGCGGGGACGCCUGGGCCCAGCGGCUGGAGGCGGCCCUGAGGCUCUGUGACGACCACAUCUCGCUGUACCAGCUGACGCUGGAGCGGGGCACGGCGCUGGCAGCCCAGGUCAGGGACGGGGCCCUGCCCGCACCCCCCCAGGAUCUGCUGGCUGACAUGUACCACACUGCCCGGAAUGUGCUGGAGGCCACCGGCUUCCGCCACUAUGAGGUCUCCAAUUUUGCACGGAAGGGCGCCCUCAGCACCCACAACCUCUCAUACUGGCGGGCUGAGCAGUACAUCGGUGUGGGGCCAGGGGCACACGGGCGCUUUGUGCUGCGAGGUGAGGGCGGCUGUCACCGGGAAGCCCGUGUGCAGACCCUGGAGCCUGUCGCCUGGAUGCGGGAGGUGCAGAGCCAGGGACACGGCACCAGGAGUCGGGCGGUGCUGAGCCCGCUGGAGCAGCUGGAGGAGCUGCUCACCCUGGGACUGCGCACGGAUGAAGGCGUCACGCACGAGCGCUGGGGGCACUUCUCCCCCCAGCUCAGCCUGCAGGCCGUGUUCGGGGAGCCGGGGGAGGCUCGGGCACUGCAGCAGCAGGGCUGGCUCGUCCUGGACAGCGGCGGCCUGCGGUGCAGCUGGGCCGGCCUGGCCGUGCUGGACUCGCUGCUGCCCGACCUGCUCUGCCAGCUGCAGCGGGCACUGGGCACUGCCCAGGGGCACCCCGGCGGAGGAGCGAGCCUUGGCGGGGGCGCGAGGGCUCCAGGCAGCCACAACGGAUAAUAAUGGACAAUAAACCACAGGAGCAGUGUGCUGGCAGUGUGCUGGGGCAGGGGCACUGGCCGUGCUGGACUCGCUGCUGCCCGACCUGCUCUGCCAGCUGCAGCGGGCACUGGGCACUGCCCAGGGCCCACCCAGGGGCGCCCCGGCGGAGGAGCGAGCCUUGGCGGGGGCGCGAGGGCUGCGAGCGGCCGCAAUGGAUAAUAAUGGAUAAUA